GGAUAACCUGCCCUUGGGUCCGGCAUAACCCCGGGAAACUGGGGAUAAUACCGGAUAACGCACAUAUGCUGGAAUGCUUUAUGCGUAAAAUGGAUUCGUCUGCCCAAGGAUGGGUCUGCGGCCUAUCAGGUAGUAGUGGGUGUAAUGUACCUACUAGCCGACAACGGGUACGGGUUGUGAGAGCAAGAGCCCGGAGAUGGAUUCUGAGACAUGAAUCCAGGCCCUACGGGGCGCAGCAGGCGCGAAAACUUUACAAUGCGGGAAACCGUGAUAAGGGGACACCGAGUGCCAGCAUCAUAUGCUGGCUGUCCAGGUGUGUAAAAUACACUCGUUAGCAAGGGCCGGGCAAGACCGGUGCCAGCCGCCGCGGUAACACCGGCGGCCCGAGUGGUGAUCGUGAUUAUUGGGUCUAAAGGGUCCGUAGCCGGUUUGGUCAGUCCUCCGGGAAAUCUGAUAGCUCAACUAUUAGGCUUUCGGGGGAUACUGCCAGACUUGGAACCGGGAGAGGUAAGAGGUACUACAGGGGUAGGAGUGAAAUCUUGUAAUCCCUGUGGGACCACCUGUGGCGAAGGCGUCUUACCAGAACGGGUUCGACGGUGAGGGACGAAAGCUGGGGGCACGAACCGGAUUAGAUACCCGGGUAGUCCCAGCCGUAAACGAUGCGCGUUAGGUGUACUGGUGACCACGAGUCACUGGGGUGCCGAAGGGAAACCGUGAAACGUGCCGCCUGGGAAGUACGGUCGCAAGGCUGAAACUUAA
rnacentral:rRNA from 1 species